rnacentral:rRNA from 1 species
CCUACGGGAGGCUGCAGUGAGGAAUAUUGGUCAAUGGGCGCGCGCCUGAACCAGCCAAGUCGCGUGAGGGAGGACGGCCCUACGGGUUGUAAACCUCUUUUGCCGGGGAGCAACGGGCGUCACGUGUGGCGCCACUGAGAGUACCCGGAGAAAAAGCAUCGGCUAACUCCGUGCCAGCAGCCGCGGUAAUACGGAGGAUGCGAGCGUUAUCCGGAUUUAUUGGGUUUAAAGGGUGCGUAGGCGGAACGUUAAGUCAGGGGUCAAAUUGAGGGGCUCAACCCCUUCCCGCCAUUGAAACUGGCGUUCUUGGGUGGAAGAGAAGUAUGCGGAAUGCGUGGUGUAGCGGUGGAAUGCAUAGAUAACACGCAGAAACCCGAUUGCGGAGGCAGCAUGCCGGCUUCCGACUGGCGCUGAAGCACGAAAGCGUGGGGAUCGAACAGGAAUAGAUACCCUAGUAGUC